CAAUACACAAAAGUUCCUACAACAAUACGCGUACAUCAAUACAUCACGUACAACAGACCCGACCCUAUACUCUUCUUCUUCCUUUGAUCAAAACCCAAAUCCCGAUCCAUCGAGCAACACGUGUCUCUCCUCCUCUCCCUUAUCCUCUAUUACGAAUUUGUUUCGAGAAUCGUCUAGGUGGAGGCAUCUCCUUGUGAUUGCGCGUCCUUGUUCAAGAUCAGACGGCUCCCUUCAAAAAUCCUUGUUCUAAUUCUUGGCUAUCAAACCUUAUCGAAUUCAAAUUUCGAGAUUUUGAAUGGAAUUGUUAUCCGAAUUUUGACCUCAUUUUGCCUCUUCAAUCUUCCCUAUUUCUCUCUAUAUAUACUCCCCUUCCUUUAACGUUUUAGGGGAUUUUUUGGACACUGAUUUAUCACCCAAAAUAUAGAGCAUUUCCAUAAAACAAAAUAGAUUUCCCCAGAAAUUAGCUACACAAACAUACAUUAAGAGCUCAAAAAGGCUUAGGAUUUUUCCGUUCGAAUUCUACGGAGCUCUUCGGAAUUGGGUGAAGCUACGCUUGUGGUGUAGUCAUUGCUCUUCUCUCGUUGUCUCAGUCUUGCUGCCCGGAAAAAGUUCCACUUUCUGCUUCUGGCGACCGGCCGAUCAGCAACAAGCCAACGAUCGGCCGACCCAGCAAGCAGCACGUAGCAGGCCAGCACACAGGCAACAUGCAGUAGCCAACCAGCAGCACGCAGCAGCCGACCGACGACCACCAGCGACCGACCGGCGACCACCAACGACCGACCGGCAACCACCAUCAGAGAUGACAAAUAGUGGAAGAAACUCUUCCACUGUUGAUCUAUGAUUGACUUGCAAGUCUCAAGUAUUUAAUAGUGGUUAAAGAGUCAAGACAAUGAAUAAAGGCGUAAAGUACAAAGUUUUGUUAGUGUUUUUGUUGGCACUUGAAACUUGAAAGUGAUCUCAUGGAAGAAAGUCAAGAAACUACAUUGUUGCUCAUUAUUGUUAUUUGUUAUUGUUGGCAUUUGAAAGUGAUCUCAUGGAAGAAGCUACAUUAUUUGUUGCUCAUUAUUGUUGUUUGUUAUUGUUGGCAGUUGAAACUUGAAAAUGGUCUCAUGGAAGAAACUACAUUAGUGAAUUAUUGUCACUUGUUAGAUUGUUAUUGUGUUGUUGUGUAAUGGCAUGAUCAAUUGAUCAUUGUAUUUGUGAAGUGUAGUGAAGUUUUAUUACUUGUUAAAUUGUUGCUUGUUAGUGC